UACAGAGGUCUCGAGCGUUAGGCGGAAUCACUGGGCUUAAAGCGUGUGUAGGUGGAUCGUUAAGUACCUUGUGAAAUCCCCGGGCUCAACCUGGGAACUGCAUCUGUGACUGCAUCGCUGGAGUGCGGCAGAGGGGGAUGGAAUUCCGCGUGUAGCAGUGAAAUGCGUAGAUAUGACGGAGGAACACCGGUGGCGAAGGCGGCAU
rnacentral:rRNA from 1 species